UCCGUCAAAACUCGACGCUUAACCUAAAACUGUCACUCAGACAUGUGCUCUUCAAGCUUUAGAAGCUUGAAAAUUUAGGUCUGUUCGACCUUUAAAAUUUCACAUGAUCUGAGUUCAAACCGGUUUAAGCCAGGUUGGUUUCUAUCCUUAAUUUUAUUAAAAAUCUUUAGUACGAGAGGAC